GUUUCUCCUGUAGGUGGCGCGCGCAGUCCGUCUCUGUCUCCGCAGUGGCGCGUUUUCUGUUUGUUUUCACCUGCGGUCGGUCGAGUGAGGACAGGCUGUGACUUGUGUUAGUGCAGUGAAAUCUCCUUUAUUCAUCCAUACGCGUGUCCUAGUGCGUUGCUGCUUGCCUGGAUGAUGAAAUAACACACCAAUCAACACUGCAAGUGUGCUCUGAUGGACGCUAAUGCACGGAAUCAAGAGUUUUUGGCAGUGUGUAAUAGCGGAAGCCAACAUCAACAUGAGGAGCACGUGUGAAGUGUCUCCUCGCGCCACAACUGCGUCAUCGUAUUAAUGAUUAACUCCUGCAUUGGAAAAUCAGACGAGGUGAAGAUGAGAGUGGAAGGCGAGUCCUGGUGAUUACCAUGGCUGAAGGUCGCGGGACGGAGACUAAGGUCAGUGAGCUUCCAUAAAUGUCACUCAAGGUCUUUGCUACACUCACUGGACACUCAUUCCUGGGCCUUAUUAACCUUUUUUAAUCCUUUACAUUGAUCGUGCGAGAAGGUGGUGACAGAUUUAAUGUGUGUGAGGUGUUUGAGUAGAAUAGAUGGUGUAUUAAUUAUCACGUUUGUAUUCCUGAUGCCUUAUAUUGACUGUGUGAGGUGUGAGGGACGUGAAGGAAGGAAGUAUGAGAUGUGGAAAUGUAAGUGAUGUAUUGAAGUAUUAGAUUGAGGGAAUUUGAGUCACGUUUAUGUUCGUGAUGUCUUACUUUGAUCCUGCGGCGUGAGUGACGUGAGGAAGGAUGAAGUUGGAAUGGUAUAAGUGACACAGGAAAUUAUUAAAAUGAGGUGAUGGGGUAGCGUGACUGACAUACACGAGGGAGUAUGGGGAAAACAGAUGAAUUAAUGAGUAUGAGACUGGAAAAUUAAAUACGCAUGUGUGAAAUGAUGAAAUG